rnacentral:lncRNA from 1 species
GUUAAUCCCGAGCCCUGUAGCUGGGCUGUAAAUCCCACGCUAGUAUUUUCCAUGCAGAAGGGAAGCGCGCCAAUCCACGAAAAACCACCAAGCAAAAAGAAAACAUUUUGUGUGUUUUGUAAAAUCCGCAAGAGAGGCAAUUAAUAUUCCCGCUGUAUGACUUUAUUUUUUGUCUCUCCCUUUUGUUUCCAGUGCCCUUCCCUGGCUCAGCGCCCGGUGCCAACAGAACACCUUGCAGGAUCCUCAGCAGUGCAGACAACACUCCAAGAUGCCAGCCUCGGCUUGGAACGGAGCGGUGUCAUGGCGGAGACGACGGCCUUUGUCUCACAGGGUGUGAAAGCAUCCGUUGUGCUGGCUCCACUGCGGCAGAGUGACGUUUAAAGGGGGGAAAAAGUGCUGAAGGUCCGAGUUGAGCAGCGCUGGCAGGGGAGCCCCUAUCCCCACGGUGGUGUGCGUCCAAGGAAGGGCUUGCAGCGGAGGAGCCUGGUCUCCGCCUGGCACAGCUCUGCUGCCUGGUGUAGGGGGGCAGGGAAGAGCCCGCAGCAAAGCCCGGGACUGCAAAGGACGGACGGAUGGACGUUGGCGUGCGGCUGGGGCGCUCCUGCCUCAUCCUCCCGACGUGUCACCACUAGAAUUUGCUAUAAACAAUCAAAGCGACCCCUCCCUUCGUCUCUCCUGCCCUCCCUCCUCACAGCAGGGUGAGCUCUGUUGAAGUUGCAGCAGGGACGCUGUGCCCCUUGAGCUUAGCACAGCACGUGAGUGACCACUGCUGAGGUGGGGCAGUGGAGGACACUGACUGGGGUAGGCUCGUCCUGUCAUCAGGGCUCCUUUUAGAUUCUUUAAUGGCCUCAGAUACAUUGCUUGGGGUUAAGCAUCUCAACCAGGGGAAAGUUAGUUUGUAAUUACAAGAGAAAUAAACCAUGUGAGGGA